rnacentral:rRNA from 1 species
CGGAACUAACAGAUUUACUUCGGUAAUGACGUUAGGAAAGCGAGCGGCGGAUGGGUGAGUAACACGUGGGGAACCUGCCCCAUAGUCUGGGAUACCACUUGGAAACAGGUGCUAAUACCGGAUAAGAAAGCAGAUCGCAUGAUCAGCUUUUAAAAGGCGGCGUAAGCUGUCGCUAUGGGAUGGCCCCGCGGUGCAUUAGCUAGUUGGUAAGGUAAAGGCUUACCAAGGCGAUGAUGCAUAGCCGAGUUGAGAGACUGAUCGGCCACAUUGGGACUGAGACACGGCCCAAACUCCUACGGGAGGCAGCAGUAGGGAAUCUUCCACAAUGGACGCAAGUCUGAUGGAGCAACGCCGCGUGAGUGAAGAAGGUUUUCGGAUCGUAAAGCUCUGUUGUUGGUGAAGAAGGAU